UGGUCCCGAAUUACUUGGAAUAAAAUAUCAUAAUAAAUGUUUUUUCCUUCUGUUGUUAACUUUCCAUUUUGGAGUACAAGCUUUUGUUACAACAGCAAGAGCUUUCAUAACAGUUUCGGAGUCAGUUAAAAUCCUGUUGAAUGUGUUCCCCCAGUGUUGCAUCAGACCCGAUACUAACCGCCAUAAAACACUAAAACAGCAGCUAUGAUGAGCUGGGGCUGAUAACAAAGCUCUAGCACAGUGAACCACCUGCCCUGAGGAAGUGGGGAGGCAUAAAGGAGGAUAUACAGCAAAAAACGUCUCGCUCCAAAAACUGGUGUCUUUCAUUCCACCUGCUUUGCUUUUGUUUCUUGAUUGAGGUGUCUCCUGGCUAAUUACAGAGAUUUGCAUUGUCCUCACAGGAAAUGAGGGCUUAGCACAGGAUGUUCUCUGCCAGUUGGAUAAUCACUGGAGACUGGAGUUUUUGGUGCUGCACAAGCGUACCUGCAACCACAGCCCUGCUCCAACUUGCCAUCAUCAGAAAAAAGAUUUCAUCGAUCAGUUUAAGUGCUGGAUGGGCAAAAGAGCUGCUUGGUGAGUAGAACAAAUUGAUCUGACCUAGUGAAAAAGUUGAGAAUUUCCAUCACUAAAGGUAAACGUGCUAUCGCCACAUAACCAAGAUCACCAGAAUGGGGACUUUUUUUAAACUAUUCUUGUAAAGAAACACAACUCCUCUUCAUAAAGGUAGCACUUUUAGUCACAUGUAAAUAAAAUGCUUUACCUUAUGGGUUUACUGGCACUGAGUUUAAAAAAACAGGGCAAACGAAGUGGCUAAUCUCUUAGGAUAAAGUCCGUUACACAGGCAUCCUUUCUGCUCGUAUGUCAUAAAGAUAUGACUUUUUCCUUAAUCUUGUACCAGGGUAUUGCCUUAGAUGACUUCCUUAAAUACCUGUUUACAAAGUUAUACUACG